rnacentral:rRNA from 1 species
CGUGUAGGCGGCCUGCCAAGUCGGGUGUGAAAGCCCUCGGCUCAACCGAGGAAUUGCACCCGAUACUGGCGGGCUAGAGUCCGGGAGGGGGUAGCGGAAUUCCCAGUGCAGCGGUGAAAUGCGUAGAUAUUGGGAAGAACACCAGUGGCGAAGGCGGCUACCUGGACCGGAACUGACGCUGAGGCGCGAAAGCUAGGGGAGCGAAUG